UACGGAAGGCAGCAGUGGGGAAUAUUGCACAAUGGGCGCAAGCCUGAUGCAGCCAUGCCGCGUGUAUGAAGAAGGCCUUCGGGUUGUAAAGUACUUUCAGCGGGGAGGAAGGCGGAUGCGGUUAAUAACCGCGUCGAUUGACGUUACCCGCAGAAGAAGCACCGGCUAACUCCGUGCCAGCAGCCGCGGUAAUACGGAGGGUGCAAGCGUUAAUCGGAAUUACUGGGCGUAAAAGCGCACGCAGGCGGUCUGUUAAGUCAGAUGUGAAAAUCCCCGGGCUUAAACCUGGGAACUGCAUUUUGAAACUGGCAGGCUUGAGUCUUGUAGAGGGGGUAGAAAUUCCAGGUGUAGCGGUGAAAAUGCGUAGAGAUCUGGAGGAAAUACCGGUGGCGAAAGGCGGGCCCCUGGACAAAAGAACUGACGCUCAGGUGCGAAAAGACGUGGGGAGGCAAAACAAGGA
rnacentral:rRNA from 1 species